AUCUGGUCCAGCGCGUACAGCAUCGCCUCGAGCCGAUGGAUGCCGUUUUCUUUCUUGAUGUCCCCGCAAGGCACUCCGGUGGAGGCAUGACUUGAAUGAGGAGUGUCUCUCAUUUCAGGCGAGUACCUUAACAACUGGGCUAAAAGUCAUAAGGUCUCAAGUUCAAUAAUGAAGGUGAUUUGGUGAAGGAGAGGGAGAAUGGAGAGGCAGCAGGUACUGCACAGUGACAAGGUAAAGUCCAG